UUGCCCUAGACACACACCAGACUGUGAGACCACAACAUUCACAAAACAUGUUCCAUUGCAAGACUCAAUCACAACCUGGCAGUUCACUGGCAUUAGCCUUUCAAAGGCCUAUGGAAUCUGUGUUGGGGAGCCGUUUGAAGUGAUUGUCAGAAAGGAAUUUUUCAUUGAUCUGAGACUUCCUUAUUCUGCUGUUCGAGGAGAGCAGAUAGAAAUUAAAGCAAUCCUUCACAACUACAGCCCAGAACUAAUCAC